rnacentral:rRNA from 1 species
UACGUAGGGUGCGAGCGUUAAUCGGAAUUACUGGGCGUAAAGCGCACGUAGGCGGAUUGACAAGUUGGGGGUGAAAUCCCGGGGCUCAACCUCGGAACUGCCUUUGAUACUGCAAGUCUCGAGUCCGGAAGAGGUGAGUGGAAUUCCUAGUGUAGAGGUGAAAUUCGUAGAUAUUAGGAAGAACACCAGUGGCGAAGGCGGCUCACUGGUCCGGUACUGACGCUGAGGUGCGAAAGCGUGGGGAGCAAACAGG